rnacentral:rRNA from 1 species
AGUGAACGCUGGCGGUAGGCCCAACACAUGCAAGUCGAACGGCAGCACAGUAAGAGCUUGCUCUUACGGGUGGCGAGUGGCGGACGGGUGAGGAAUACAUCGGAAUCUACUUUUUCGUGGGGGAUAACGUAGGGAAACUUACGCUAAUACCGCAUACGACCUACGGGUGAAAGCAGGGGAUCUUCGGACCUUGCGCGAUUGAAUGAGCCGAUGUCGGAUUAGCUAGUUGGCGGGGUAAAGGCCCACCAAGGCGACGAUCCGUAGCUGGUCUGAGAGGAUGAUCAGCCACACUGGAACUAAGACACGGUCCAGACUCCUACGGGAGGCAGCAGUGGGGAAUAUUGGACAAUGGGCGCAAGCCUGAUCCAGCCAUACCGCGUGGGUGAAGAAGGCCUUCGGGUUGUAAAGCCCUUUUGUUGGGAAAGAAAAGCAGCAGGUUAAUACCCCGCUGUUCUGACGGUACCCAAAGAAUAAGCACCGGCUAACUUCGUG